rnacentral:rRNA from 1 species
ACUCCUACGGGAGGCAGCAGUGAGGAAUAUUGGUCAAUGGAGGGAACUCUGAACCAGCCAUCCCGCGUGUAGGAAGACGGCCUUAUGGGUUGUAAACUACUUCAUUAACAGGAAGAAACGUACCCUCGUGAGGGUGCCUGACGGUACUGUAGGAAUAAGCACCGGCUAACUCCGUGCCAGCAGCCGCGGUAAUACGGAGGGUGCGAGCGUUAUCCGGAUUUAUUGGGUUUAAAGGGUCCGUAGGCGGAUUAAUAAGUCAGUGGUGAAAUCCCAUCGCUUAACGAUGGAACUGCCAUUGAUACUGUUAGUCUUGAAUGAGGGUGCAGUGGUUGGAAUGUGUAGUGUAGCGGUGAAAUGCAUAGAUAUUACACAGAACACCGAUUGCGAAGGCAGAUCACUAACCCUAAAUUGACGCUGAGGGACGAAAGCGUGGGGGAGCGAACAGGAUUAGAUACCCUGUAGCGACUG